ensembl:lncRNA
GGUGGAUAGUGAUGUGUUGACUGUAGGUCUAGUGGUGGAUAGUGAGGUGUUGACUCUGGGUCUAGUGGUGGAUUGUGAGGUGUUGACUCUGGGUCUAGUGGUGGAUAGUGAGGUGUUGACUGUAGGUCUAGUGGUGGAUAGUGAGGUGUUGACUCUGGGUCUAGUGGUGGAUAGUGAGGUGUUGACUGUAGGUCUAGUGGUGGAUAGUGAGGUGUUGACUCUGGGUCUAGUGGUGGAUAGUGAGGUGUUGACUGUAUGUCUAGUGGUGGAUAGUGAGGUGUUGACUGUAGGUGUAGUGGUGGAUAGUGAGGUGUGGACUGUAGGUCUAGUGGUGGAUAGUGAGGUGUUGACUGUAUGUCUAGUGGUGG